CAAAUUAUUUUUAUAUUUAGCUAAGAUGACAGUUAUAAAUUUUAUCUUAGUAAUAUCUCAGUGAUAUUAGGAUUGGGUUUGCUUAAUAUUUCUUUCAAAACAGAGUGCGUUAGCCAAAAUUGUGGCAAUCGUUUGCCAUUAAGGUUGGGGAUUUAAAGAUGAGUUCUUCAAUAUUGGACUGAGUUUUGAUUAACAUAGCGAAGAACCUAUCGUUUUCGUUAUCGAAUUACAGAAUUGUUUGAUUUCAUAAUGCCAUAUGAGCGUAUGGAAAGUUAUGAAAGUUUCUCAGUUGAAAUGCAAAGAAGGAGGUAAUCUAAUCCUAAGACAUUAAUCAGGCUAUAAGGUAUUUGAAAGUUUCUCAGUUGAAAUGCAAAGAAGGAGCUAAUCUAAUCCUAAGACAUUAAUCAGUUAUGAAAGGGACUUGGUUGAUAUGCAAAGAAGUAGCUAAACUAAAUACAUUAAUCAGGUAUAAAAAGUUAUGAAAAGGACUUGGUUGAAAUGCAAAGAAGGAACUAAACUAAUCUUGAGACAUUGAUCAGGUAUAAAAAGUUAGGAAAGGGACUUGGUUGAAAUGCAAAGAAGGAGCUAAACUAAUCUUGAGACAUUAAUCAGGAAAUCUGUCGAUAAGACGUAGUUUUCACCUGGUAUUGGUGCAAAGCAAACUGUGCAACAUCCCGCUUUGAUUUUAGUUGACAUUCCGCAAACGGAACAGAUCACUACUCUUGUCGUCAGAGACAUUGCUAGAGCUUCUACUCUCACAACGUCCGUCCUCUUCCAUGGCUGGAGAUGGAAUGAUGAAAAUGAAAAUCUCCUGGUCUUAGAAGUGACUUUAAGGAGAGCCCGCUUCAGCCAGAAGCUAUCUCCUCUAUUGGCGGAAAGUUGGAGAUAGCAUGAAAUGGAAAUUUUACCUGGAGGAAAAUGUUUUUUAUAAUCAUUUAAGGGAAAAAAUUCGGUCAUGUGAUCCAGAUUUUGAUAAAACUGUAAUGCAAUGGUUUGAAGAAUGCGAAAUAUCGGAAGAUGAUUCUGACAUUAGUAAUGCAGAAACGGUUAUAAGCGAUCAUGAAUAAAAAAGUGAACAAGAAAUUGAAGGAAUUCGGACUUAGAUUCAGAAGAUGAGGAAGACGACAUGGCUGUCACGGAUAAUUAUUUCUAUGGAUAAGGAAAAAAUAGAUUCAAGUGGUCCAAGAAGCCGUUAGUGAGUUCACAUUUCAGGACGCCUCAACAUAAUAUUGUUUUGAAGCUGCCUAAAUUUCGUCCUAAUUUUCAACGUCUAUAUCUGACUGAAAAUGAAUCCUGGGUCUACAUUUUCUCGAUCGACAUGUUGCUUAUGAUUGUAAAAUAUACAAAUAUUAAAUUUACUGCAAUUAUGCAAAAAUACAGACAUCAAGAGAAGUCAGAUUUGCGUGAUUUGGAUAUAGUGGAAUUACGCGGCUUCCUGGGUCUACUGUUUUACAUUGUUACUUUCAAAUUUGAA